rnacentral:lncRNA from 1 species
UGGGCACUCGCUCCAUCUAUAAAAAGCCAAUAAGGGCUAUACAUGAGCAACCCCAAACCAAAGCUAAGAACAAGGUUCUGAAGUUUUUUGAAGUACUCGAUCCAUGGCCGACUUCGCCCAGCAGCUCAAGGCCAAAUUCUCUUACUUCUUUCAACGCGUCAAGAGCUUCAGCUUUGGUAACAAUAAAGAAAAUAAAGGUGGAGUAUAUAUAUAUAUAUAUAUAUAUAUAGUUCGAAUAAAUAUUUGUUCUCCUGUUUCAUGAAGUUAUCAUAUGGUACGUUUUCCAUCUUUCACAUUAUUUUAAUCGAUAGAUCUAAUGGUUUCUUGUAUUAUUUCAUCUAUGCAUGCAGGAAAUGAGAGUAGUAGUAGUAGUACUGUAGCCAGUGUACAAACGACCUCUGCUGUGACUCUGGUGAUGCAUGCAUGCAUAUCUGUUGUUCAUUAGAAUAUAUUGUUGAAUACUUUGUGAAUCUAAACCAGAAAAAACCUAGGGACAUAUUUCAAUAACGUUUCUUACAACACACACACACACACACACAUAUAUAUACAGCUCUAAAUUCCAAAGCCUAGGUGAGUUGAGCUAAUGUGUUUUUAAAAAUACAUGAGCAUUUGUGUUAUAAAUUUUUAACCGUCGAAUUGCCUCAAGAUCUGUACAGUACUAUUAUUGAUAUGCCCCGUUAAGCUUCUUUAACUCGUGAUCCAACAGUUAAAAAAUUACAAGCGCGUUUGAAAGCACAGAGCUCAACUCUCAAAAUUGUUCUUCUUAGGUUGAAAUAGAGUAGCUUAUUAUAUGUUUAGCACUCUUUUAUUCUUAUUAAUCGCUUUGACAUUAGAGCUUAUUGAUUUGGAUGGCUCAUACAUAUAUGCAGAGUAGGGAGAUUAUUACUGAGGAAAAGGUUUCGUCCCACAUGCAUGUUUCCAACCCACCUAGUCCGGAACACAAUUGAAAUAUUGUACAAGUAACAUGGUGCUGCAGCGACGUGACUAUGGUUCAUGGUUGAAGUUCACGUCUUAUAAAUAAAACAUUAUAUAUUAAUGUCUACAAGUUCAAAGUUCUCUUAACUAGGUUCUUAGCAUGCGUGCGUGUGUAUAUAUAUAAUGCUAGUUUGUUUUUCUUUGGUUUGUGGAAGAGUUGUUUAAUUAGCUUCAGUACUGCUUUUGUAUGCAUGUAAUUAAGCUCCAAAGCUACAUAAGAUGUUGGUGUGUUGCAUUUGCACUUAAUUAAAAAUCAAUUGGCGUUGAGUGGUGCUAUAAAUAUACCUUAUAUGGAUUUAAUGUUGUAGACCACAUAAUAAGCCUUGUCACGCUCACGAUCUAAUUAGUGCCCGGUGAGAAAUACUUUCUCACACUUUCGACAAACCACACAAUCUAUUUUUAGAAAAAUGAUUUAACUUUUUGGAUAGGUUUUUCUAACAAUAACUUUAAAUAAAAGCUUAUAAUCGCGAUGAGAUAAAGGGUUCACAGAUGAGGCC